CCUCCUACGGGGGGCAGCAGUGAGGAAUAUUGGUCAAUGAGCGGGAGCCUGAACCAGCCAAGUCGCGUGAAGGAAGAAGGUACUUAGUAUUGUAAACUUCUUUUGUCGGGGAACAAAGGCGGAGACGCGUCUCCGGAUGAGUGUACCCGAAGAAAAAGCAUCGGCUAACUCCGUGCCAGCAGCCGCGGUAAUACGGAGGAUGCGAGCGUUAUCCGGAUUUAUUGGGUUUAAAGGGUGCGCAGGCGGGAGAGCAAGGCAGCGGGAAAAUGUCGGGGCUCAACCCCGGCCGGCCGUCGAAACUGGGC
rnacentral:rRNA from 1 species